rnacentral:lncRNA from 1 species
GCUUUCUUCUUUAAAUCUUUCAAUGGUUUCCUCAGUGGUAUGGCUUUUCAUCAGAAUUGUUAUGUUGGGCAUGCCAUAGCGUUCUCAAACUGCUUCUUUUGAGACGUGUUCCUUCUUCCCUUUAAAUGUGCGCUUGCUUUUGCAGUUGUCUGCUUCUUGGUGCUGGGGAUUUUAUUGUUUCCCGUUUGGGGAUCUCUGUUGUAACCUUCUGUCUUCAGGUGGGGCUACUGAUUCCAAACUCUAGAGCUAAAAUGUAUUCCCACAUUAUGCUGGUGGGCGACCUAGAACUUAAAAUGUAUUCCCGCAUUAUACUGGUGGGCGACCUAGAACUUAAAAUGUGUUCCCGCAUUAUACUGGUGGGCGACCUAGAACUUAAAAGUAUUCCCGCAUUAUACUGGUGGGCGACCUAGAACUUACGUGUAUUUCCGCAUUAUACUGGUGGGCGACCUAGAACUUAAAUGUAUUUGAAAUUGUUUCCCCGUUCUUCCGAGAAAAGUUUUGACAAUCGGCAGAAAAUUUUCUGCCCCGGUUUUUGGUGAUUUCCCUGGCGUUGCAUCUCGCUGCCAUCAUCAAUCCUUUGUUUUCCUGCAGCGGACAAAAGGAUUUAUUUAGUUUUAAUCGUGGUGGUAGAGGGUGCCUUUCCGGCGGUUGAUUUUUCCUCUCUUCCCCUUUUUCUUGCUCUAUGUCCCCAUAAUUGGUUAGUGGACAAAAUUGCCUGCUGGGGGUCUCUAGCCUGCUGGGG